rnacentral:rRNA from 1 species
GACAGAGGGUGCAAACGUUGUUCGGAAUUACUGGGCGCAAAGCGCGUGUAGGCGGCAGGGCAUGUCGGAUGUGAAAUCCCGUGGCUCAACCACGGAAGUGCACCCGAAACUGCCCAGCUUGAGUCUCGGAGAGGAAGGCGGAAUGCUUGGUGUAGAGGUGAAAUUCGUAGAUAUCAAGCGGAACACCGGUGGCGAAGGCGGCCUUCUGGACGAUGACUGACGCUGAGACGCGAAAGCGUGGGGAGCAAACAGG